rnacentral:rRNA from 1 species
CGUAGAUAAGGGAAUAUUGCACAAUGGGGGAAACCCUGAUGCAGCAACGCCGCGUGAGUGAUGACGGCCUUCGGGUUGUAAAGCUCUGUCUUCAGGGACGAUAAUGACGGUACCUGAGGAGGAAGCCACGGCUAACUACGUG